rnacentral:lncRNA from 1 species
GGUCUUUUCCCAAUAUAUCUAAGAGGUGUAAUUUAUUGGCCAGAUAACUCACACGAAUAAAACUCAGUUUUAUGAUUCAAACCACAACACUCAAUAAAAUAGAAGCAAUAACAAAUGUUUAUUGAAUAUAAAAUGACAUAGCCUCAAUCCUAGAAACAAAGGGAAUUACUCACCUGUGAUGGAGACGAGAAUACCAAAUUCUAAAGUAGAGAAUUGUAAUAUAAAGUGUUUCUAAUCCCUAGGGAGAACCCUUAUUUAUCUUAAUUAUAAAAGAUUGAGUUAAGCCCAACAAAACAAUUCUAAAAAAAUAGGAAUAGAAUAUAUCAUCCACGUCCAUGAGUGUAUGUGGCGCUUUCACUUCAAGUUGUUUCUCUUCAAUCCAGACUCCAAGGCGACUUCUUUUGGCCCUUCAAUUGGUAUUCGCAUGACUUCAACAUCGAAUUUCAUCAUCUUGCCCUCAAUAGCUACUCUUUUUGGCUUCUAUCCAUCCAAUUACACAACAUAACCAAAAACACCCGCUCAACCCGAACAAAGAGAAAUAAAAGCUAAAAACAAUCAUAAAGUCACAAUUAUGUCAUAAAAUACAAGUUAAAUGCAAUGCAGAUGUAACAUACUUUUACACUCAUUAAUUACAUAUUGUCACAUGAUUAAUUUAAAAAAACAAAACAAAAUAGAACAUUUUGAUUGACCCAUGACAAAGAAUGAGACACGGUUUGGAACAUAUGAUAUCUGUCACAGACUUAGAUUCUUUGGUCAAUCAUGUAAAAACAUUAGAUAUACAUAAUCUGAAUUGUAUAGCAACAUAAGUUGGAUGUUUUAUAAAUGGAAUUAAUGAUUGAUAAUUUAAAUGCCUCUUUAACAUGUUGAAAUUUGGUUUCUAUUUUUAGACUAUAGAAACAGUUUCACUACUUUAUUUUAUAGCACUUACUACAUAUGCAAGUUAGUCGUGAUGAGAUUCACUUCCUCAGAGUUUUUACAAGUCUUGCAAAUACAAAAGCAAUUAAGAAACUAGGGCCUUGUGCUUGUUUUAUUUCAUACUCUACCAAAAACAAAUCAUAUGAUGGCACAUAAUAUUAAGUCAAUAUGCUUAUAUAUGAAAUGUCAAAAGUAACCACAUCAAAAUUAACCACAUUAGAUGAUAUCUAAGUUUUGCCACAUAAUAUUUUGCCAUUUCUUUUAACUUUCACCUCCAGAUUUUGCCAACAGAGAAGAACACAUUAGUCCAGCAAUCCAAAAAAACAUGCAUACAUUCAUAGGAAAAAUAUAAUGAAAUAGAUACAGUAUACACUCAGAUAUCAUACAAAUAUAUAUACACAUGUAUAUAUAAUUAAGAAAAAAGUAUAGCCAAUGGAAAAAUUUAAAAAACCUUAUCUAGGUUAAAUGAUACCUCGAAUGAAAUUCAGGUGGUGGAUAAGAAACCAAAUUAGUGUUUCCAUGCUUCAGUUCAACAGAUGAAAUUGUCACAUGAUCUAUUCUUACCGAUUAGGUAAGCUUAGAUCAUGCUGACAGCUUCAACCAUUGUAAGGGCAAGAAUCUCCAUCCAUAUAUAUACAUAUGUGUGUAUACAUCUUAUCUUUUUUCCUCUUCUUUUCAAAGUGAAGGUUGGGAAGAGAUAAGAGUGAUGUGAAGAUUAAAAAU